UACGUAGGGGCCGAGCGUUGUCCGGAGUUAUUGGGCGUAAAGCGCGCGCAGGCGGCUUCGCGCGUCCGACGUGAAAGCCCCCGGCUCAACCGGGGAGGGUCGUUGGGUACGGCGGAGCUUGAGGGCGGUAGAGGUUGGUGGAAUUCCCGGUGUAGUGGUGAAAUGCGCAGAUAUCAGGAAGAACACCCGUGGCGAAAGCGGCCUCUCUGGAACGGUACUGACGCUGAGACGCGAAAGCGUGGGGAGCGAACAGG
rnacentral:rRNA from 1 species